GAUGAACGCUGGCGGCGUGCCUAAUACAUGCAAGUCGAGCGAACGGACGAGAAGCUUGCUUCUCUGAUGUUAGCGGCGGACGGGUGAGUAACACGUGGAUAACCUACCUAUAAGACUGGUAUAACUUGGGGAAACCGGAGCUAAUACCGGAUGAUAUUUUGAACCGCAUGGUUCAAAAGUGAAAGACGGUCUUGCUGUCACGUAUAGAUGGAUCCGCGCUGCAUUAGCUAGUUGGGAAGGUAACGGCUUACCAAGGCAACGAUGCAUAGCCGAGCGGAGAGGGUGAUAGGCCGCACUGGAACUGGGACACCGUCCAGACUCCUACGGGACGCAGCAGUAGGGUAUCUUCCGCAAUGGUCGGGAGCCUGGCGGAGCAGCGCCGCGUGAGAGGUGACGGUCUUCGGAUCGUAAAACUCUGUUAUUAGGGAAGAACCUAUGUGUACGUAACUGUGCACAUCUUGACGGUACCUAGUCAGAAAGCCCCGGCUAACUACGUG
rnacentral:rRNA from 1 species